GUUAGUGGCGGACGGGUGAGUAACGCGUGGGAAUCUGCCCUCAGGAGGGGGAUAACGGUUGGAAACGGCCGCUAAUACCCCAUAUGCCGAGAGGUGAAAUGAAUUUCGCCUGAGGAUGAGCUCGCGUCUGAUUAGCUAGUUGGUGGGGUAAAGGCCUACCAAGGCAUCGAUCAGUAGCUGGUCUGAGAGGAUGAUCAGCCACACUGGAACUGAGACACGGUCCAGACUCCUACGGGAGGCAGCAGCGAG
rnacentral:rRNA from 1 species